GAAAGACCAAACGAGAAGCUGCAU
rnacentral:miRNA from 1 species